rnacentral:rRNA from 1 species
AUAAGGAAUAGUUAGUGGCAGACGGGUGAGUAAUGCAUAGGAAUCUACCUAGUAGUAUGGGAUAGCCACUAGAAAUGGUGGGUAAUACUGUAUAAUCCCUGCGGGGGAAAGAUUUAUCGCUAUUAGAUGAGCCUAUGUUAGAUUAGCUAGUUGGUAGGGUAAAGGCCUACCAAGGCGAUGAUCUAUAGCUGGUCUGAGAGGAUGAUCAGCCACACUGGAACUGAGAUACGGUCCAGACUCCUACGGGAGGCAGCAGUGGGGAAUAUUGGACAAUGGGCGCAAGCCUGAUCCAGCUAUGCCGCAUGAGUGAGGAAGGCCUUAGGGUUGUAAAACUCUUUCAGUAGGGAAGAUAAUGACGGUACCUACAGAAGAAGUCCCGGCAAACUCCGUGCCAGCAGCCGCGGUAAUACGGAGGGGGCAAGCGUUGUUCGGAAUUAUUGGGCGUAAAGGGCAUGUAGGCGGUUCGGUAAGUUAAAGGUGAAAUGCCAGGGCUUAAC